GGGACGAUAUCGCAGCCACCGCCCUGUUACAUCUUCGCCGGGGUUGGCGCCGCCGCCGCCGACGUCGCUUGCCCAAGGUGAGACUCUAUCCUUAGACAAGCGACUCUCUCACUUCUCCCCCACAUGAACGACCGGCCCUCCAACCAUUGAGUGACCUGGAUGGUCGCCGCCACCGGACAACGAUGUGGAGGUGGUGGCGAUGUUUAUGGAGGAGUAGGAGGAUGAGCACCUCUCUACCAUCCACUGGUCCACCCAUCAAUAACGAAAAUGAAAUCGACCGCCCUGCCUAUCUCCGCCACCUAUCCUCGCCCCGUCGCCGCAACUGGUUAGGUUGAGAUCUUGACACAGAACUUGAUGAUUCCAGUCGCCGCAACAGGACGUCCGCCCUCAUAGCGAACUUGACGAGUCCAAUCGAAUUAAGGAGCGCCAUGACUGGUUUCUCAUGCCUGCCGCUGCUUGUGUGCGCUUCCAGCCGGUGAGAAAAUUCACCACUUCCAUAUCCAGCCAGCGAAGGAAUCGAUCACGGCAGCUUGAUCAAACUCGGCACAGAUGCAUACACACCGCGCGCUCCACUGAUGUGAGGAUCCAUUCCCCUCAAUCCCCUCUUAAUAAUCUCCAACAUCUCCCCGUUCCGAUGUUCGCAUACUUGAUCGGAAGUGAGUGCAUCAUGGAUCAAAGCUCAGCCUGGGUCUUCAUCAACGCAAGACGGAGCGGGAGGGACCUGGAAGUUUUUCAGCCGCAUGAAUGUGGAAGGCGCUCGACAAAUCAGAGAUGUAUGAAGCUUCUGCCGAGGUAAUUUCUCUCGGGGUAAUUGAUGGGAGAGGCUCGCAUGUUUUGUUCUUGAUCUUGAAACAAAGCAAGUGGUCAGUGUGUUUUUGUACGAUGCACAAAUGCCCUUACACUGCGUUUGGAUGUCUCCAUUGGAGCCCAGAAAAUGGAUUUCGUAAUCAUCUGGGUCAAUACAGACGUUUGGCUGGACACUGACGUUUGGCUGGACACUGAAUUCGUAUUGGAAAUGAAAGAGCAACUCAGGCCCGUUUUCGCUCCCGUGAAAAUCUCCCUCCCACGUUUCAGAGGGGUGGGGCUCAGAAUUGGCCCGAAAUCGCUCUCUUCCGCAAAACGUAUCGCUUCAGCCCACGGAACAGAAACAGAAGGCAGCGAAGGGGAACGGGAGGGGCGAACUCGAGGGCUGACCUGGCCAUGGCAGCGGCGACCUAACAGCAGGUGGCAGCUGCGACCACCAUGGCAACCGGCGGCGGCGCAGGUCCGUCCCUCCCCUCUUCCCCACCCCUUUUCCUGCCGCCCCCUCACCAUCUCCCGUCGCCCUGUGCUGCGCUCCGCCAUGGAGGUCGACGGCGGCCCAGGACUGGCGCGCCCCGUCGUCAGCUCCGCCCUUCUAGUCACGUGUGGUCGUCGUCCUUGCCUAUCGUUUCGUGGCUCAAACCCUCCCUUCUCCACGAGCUGCAGCUCCUUCUGUA
rnacentral:rRNA from 1 species